rnacentral:misc_RNA from 1 species
CUGCCAAUUUCUGCCACUGCCAACCACUGAAUUUGGACCACACAAGGCAACACAGACACUACACUGAAGAAUUGUAAUUAGGGAUUGCAGCUGCAAUGCACAGCCAAAUGCUACCUAGUCCACAACAACCAAGCACAUAACAGCAUACCAGGUUGAAAUAAGACCAUCUCUGAACCACUCUGGCCUCCCAAGUGAUUACUCUCUGUG